UACGGGGGGGGCAAGCGUUGUUCGGAAUUACUGGGCGUAAAGGGCUCGUAGGCGGCCAACUAAGUCGGAUGUGAAAUCCCCAGGCUUAACCUGGGAACUGCAUCCGAUACUGGAUGGCUUGAAUCCGGGAGAGGGAUGCGGAAUUCCAGGUGUAGCGGUGAAAUGCGUAGAUAUCUGGAGGAACACCGGUGGCGAAGGCGGCAUCCUGGACCGGUAUUGACGCUGAGGCGCGAAAGCCAGGGGAGCAAACAGG
rnacentral:rRNA from 1 species